GAUGAGGAUAGGCUCGCGUGACAUUAGCUUGACGGCGGGGUAACGGCCCACCGUGGCGACGAUGUCUAGGGGUUCUGAGAGGAAGGUCCCCCACACUGGAACUGAGACACGGUCCAGACUCCUACGGGAGGCAGCAGUGAGGAAUAUUGGUCAAUGGCCGGAAGGCUGAACCAGCCAUGCCGCGUGAAGGUCAGUGCCCUAUGGGCGUUAAACUUCUUUUGUGCGGGAGCAAUAAGGUCCACGUGUGGACCGACGAGAGUACCGUACGAAUAAGCAUCGGCUAACUCCGUGCCAGCAGCCGCGGUAAUACGGGGGAUGCAAGCGUUAUCCGGAUUUAUUGGGUUUAAAGGGUGCGUAGGCUGUGAGGUAAGUCAGCGGUGAAAUGCCCCCGCUCAACGGGGUGAAGUGCCAUUGAUACUGCCUUGCUGGAAUGCGGAUGCCGUGGGAGGAAUGUGUGGUGUAGCGGUGAAAUGCAUAGAUAUCACACAGAACACCGAUUGCGAAGGCAUCUCACGAAUCCGCUAUUGACGCUGAUGCACGAAAGCGUGGGUAUCAAACAGGAUUAGAUACCCUGGUAGUCCACGCUGUAAACGAUGAUGAC
rnacentral:rRNA from 1 species